AGGCAGCCUCUUUGCAAAUGACUAUAGUAAAGAAGGUGUUAAACUGCUCAUAAAUAAAUUGUCUUUUGCUCUUCAGACUUGCUGAGAUUAGUCUUUGAAGCUGGUCUAGUAAGCCAAAGCACAUU
rnacentral:snoRNA from 1 species